rnacentral:rRNA from 1 species
AAUAGAUACCCGGGUAGUCCAUGCCGUAAACGAUGUCUACUAGCCGUUGGGGCCCUUGAGGCUUUAGUGGCGCAGCUAACGCGAUAAGUAGACCGCCUGGGGAGUACGGUCGCAAGACUAAAACUCAAAUGAAUUGACGGGGGCCCGCACAAGCGGUGGAGCAUGUGGUUUAAUUCGAUGCAACGCGAAGAACCUUACCUGGCCUUGACAUACAGAGAACUUUCCAGAGAUGGAUUGGUGCCUUCGGGAACUCUGAUACAGGUGCUGCAUGGCUGUCGUCAGCUCGUGUCGUGAGAUGUUGGGUUAAGUCCCGCAACGAGCGCAACCCUUUUCCUUAUUUGCCAGCACUUCGGGUGGGAACUUUAAGGAUACUGCCAGUGACAAACUGGAGGAAGGCGGGGACGGACGUCAAGUCAUCAUGGCCCUUACGGCCAGGGCUACACACGUGCUACAAUGGUCGGUACAAAGGGUUGCUACUGCGCGAGCAGAUGCUAAUCUCAAAAACGCCGAUCGUAGUCCGGAUCGCAGU